rfam:Clostridium bolteae CAG:59 genomic scaffold, scf89
GGUACCAGUACUCGUUGCGGAGCAACGAUUGUGAAAGA